UACGUAGGGGGCAAGCGUUGUCCGGAAUAAUUGGGCGUAAAGCGCGCGUAGGCGGCUAUGUAGGUCCGCUGUGAAAGUCAAAGGCUCAACCUUUGAAAGCCGGUGGAUACUGCAUGGCUAGAGUACGGAAGAGGCGAGUGGAAUUCCUGGUGUAGCGGUGGAAUGCGCAGAUAUCAGGAGGAACACCAAUAGCGAAGGCAGCUCGCUGGGACGUUACUGACACUGAGGCGCGAAAGCGUGGGGAGCAAACAGG
rnacentral:rRNA from 1 species